rnacentral:rRNA from 1 species
GGCCACUGCUAUUGGGGUCCGAUUAAGCCAUGCGAGUCAUGGGGCGCCUUGUGCGCACCGGCGGACGGCUCAGUAACACGUCGGUAACCUACCCUCGGGAGGGGGAUAACCCCGGGAAACUGGGGCUAAUCUCCCAUAGGUUUAGGGCACUGGAAGGUCCCUAAACCGAAAGGGGCUCUGCCCGCCCGAGGAUGGGCCGGCGGCCGAUUAGGUAGUUGGUGGGGUAACGGCCCACCAAGCCCAUAAUCGGUACGGGCAGUGAGAGCUGGAGCCCGGAGAUGGACACUGAGACACGGGUCCAGGCCCUACGGGGCGCAGCAGGCGCGAAACCUCCGCAAUGCUCGAAAGAGCGACGGGGGGACCCCAAGUGCCGUGGUACAACCACGGCUUUUCCGGAGUGUAAGAAGCUCCGGGAAUAAGGGCUGGGCAAGGCCGGUGGCAGCCGCCGCGGUAAUACCGGCGGCCCGAGUGGUGGCCACUAUUAUUGGGCCUAAAGCGUCCGUAGCCGGGCUUGUAAGUCCCUGGCGAAAUCCCACGGCUCAACCGUGGGGCUUGCUGGGGAUACUGCAAGCCUUGGGACCGGGAGAGGCCGGGGGUACUCCUGGGGUAGGGGUGAAAUCCUAUAAUCCCAGGAGGACCGCCAGUGGCGAAGGCGCCCGGCUGGAACGGGUCCGACGGUGAGGGACGAAGGCCAGGGGAGCAAACCGGAUUAGAUACCCGGGUAGUCCUGGCUGUAAAGGAUGCGGGCUAGGUGUUGCUUGGACCUCGAGUCCAAGCAGUGCCGCAGGGAAGCCGUUAAGCCCGCCGCCUGGGGAGUACGGCCGCAAGGCUGAAACUUAAAGGAAUUGGCGGGGGAGCACUACAAGGGGUGGAGCGUGCGGUUUAAUUGGAUUCAACGCCGGGAACCUCACCGGGGGCGACGGCAGGAUGAAGGCCAGGCUGAAGGUCUUGCCGGACACGCCGAGAGGAGGUGCAUGGCCGCCGUCAGCUCGUACCGUGAGGCGUCCACUUAAGUGUGGUAACGAGCGAGACCCGCGCCCCCAGUUGCCAGCCCUUCCCGUUGGGAAGGGGGCGCUCUGGGGGGACUGCCGGCGAUAAGCCGGAGGAAGGAGCGGGCGACGGUAGGUCAGUAUGCCCCGAAACCCCCGGGCUACACGCGCGCUACAAUGGGCGGGACAAUGGGAUCCAACCCCGAAAGGGGAAGGAAAUCCCCUAAACCCGCCCCCAGUUCGGAUUGCGGGCUGCAACUCGCCCGCAUGAAGCUGGAAUCCCUAGUACCCGCGUGUCAUCAUCGCGCGGCGAAUACGUCCCUGCUCCUUG